rnacentral:rRNA from 1 species
AUUGAACGCUGGCGGCAGGCCUAACACAUGCAAGUCGAGCGGAUGAGGGUAGCUUGCUAUCUGAUUCAGCGGCGGACGGGUGAGUAAUGCCUAGGAAUCUGCCUGGUAGUGGGGGGCAACGUUUCGAAAGGAACGCUAAUACCGCAUACGUCCUACGGGAGAAAGUGGGGGAUCUUCGGACCUCACGCUAUCAGAUGAGCCUAGGUACGAUUAGCUAGUUGGUGAGGUAAAGGCUCACCAAGGCGACGAUCGUUAACUGGUCUGAGAGGAUGAUCAGUAAAACUGGAACUGAGACACGGUCCAGACUCCUACGGGAGGCAGCAGUGGGGAAUAUUGGACAAUGGGCGAAAGCCUGAUCCAGCCAUGCCGCGUGUGUGAAGAAGGUCUUCGGAUUGUAAAGCACUUUAAGUUGGGAGGAAGGGCAGUAAGUUAAUACCUUGCUGUUUUGACGUUACCGACAGAAUAAGCACCGGCUAACUUCGUGCCAGCCGCCGCAGUAAUAC